rnacentral:rRNA from 1 species
CAGUAGCCGCGGUAAUACGUAGGUCCCGAGCGUUGUCCGGAUUUAUUGGGCGUAAAGGGAGCGCAGGCGGUUUAGUAAGUCUGAAGUUAAAGGCAUUGGCUCAACCAAUGUAUGCUUUGGAAACUGUUAGACUUGAGUGCAGAAGGGGAGAGUGGAAUUCCAUGUGUAGCGGUGAAAUGCGUAGAUAUAUGGAGGAACACCGGUGGCGAAAGCGGCUCUCUGGUCUGUCACUGACGCUGAGGAGCGAAAGCGUGGGGAGCGAACAGGAUUAGAUACCCCGGUAGUCCCUGUCUCUUAUACA